rnacentral:lncRNA from 1 species
AGGGUGUUGGUGGUGAUGGUGGUGACGAUGGUGGUAGCCUGCCGGGAGCAGGGGUUAGCCUGUGUCCAGCGCUUAGCGCUGAACCUAUGCCUGGGAGUACUAGCUGUGAUUGUUUUUUUGCUAUCACACACCUGACAGUCGGCACCAAAUCUGGAAGCUCCUCCUUCCCAGACGUGUGACCUUGAGGAGAUCAACACCCUCUGGAACUAUUUCAUCUACAUAGUGAAGACCCAGUGACACUUCAGGACCCUUUCAGCACUGACAUUUUAUUAUUCUAAUAAAUUUUGAUAUGAACCAUUCUACAGGAGCAGUGGAACAUCUUGCACAUUUUAGUUUUCCUAUUGGAGCUGUAAGAAGUUCAGUUCAGUCCAAUUCAGUCGCUCAGUCGUGUCCAACUCUUUGCGACCCCAUGAACCUGCAGCACGCAAAGCCUCCCUGUCCAACACCAACU